UACGGAGGGUGCAAGCGUUAUCCGGAUUCACUGGGUUUAAAGGGUGCGUAGGUGGGCAGUUAAGUCAGUGGUGAAAUCUCCGGGCUCAACCCGGAAACUGCCAUUGAUACUAUCUGUCUUGAAUAUCGUGGAGGUAAGCGGAAUAUGUCAUGUAGCGGUGAAAUGCUUAGAUAUGACAUAGAACACCAAUUGCGAAGGCAGCUUACUACCCGAAUAUUGACACUGAGGCACGAAAGCGUGGGGAUCAAACAGGAUUAGAUACCCUGGUAGUCCACGCCCUAAACGAUGGAUACUCGACAUACGCGAUACACAGUGUGUGUCUGAGCGAAAGCAUUAAGUAUCCCACCUGGGAAGUACGACCGCAAGGUUGAA
rnacentral:rRNA from 1 species